GAAAAGAAGCCGUUUUAUGUGUUAGAUUUGGGGGAAGUUGUUUCCCUGAUGGAUCAAUGGAACGUUGCGUUGCCGAAUGUUCGUCCGUUUUAUGCUGUGAAGUGUAAUCCUGAACCUUCAUUCCUUUCUAUGUUGGCUGCUAUGGGUUCGAAUUUUGAUUGUGCUAGCCGUGCUGAAAUUGAGUACGUUUUGUCUCUUGGUAUCUCGCCGGAGAGGAUUGUAUUCGCUAACCCAUGUAAGCCGGAAUCCGAUAUCAUUUUCGCCGAAAAAGUUGGAGUCAAUCUCACAACUUACGAUUCAGAGGACGAGGUUUACAAGAUCAAAAAGCAUCACCCAAAAUGCGAGCUUUUGCUCCGUAUCAAACCGAUGAACGAUGGUAAUGCUAGAUGUCCAAUGGGCCCAAAAUACGGCGCUUUGCCUGAAGAAGUCGAGCCGCUUCUCCGUAUAGCUCAAGCUUCCCGGCUCACUGUCUCCGGCGUCUCCUUCCAUAUCGGCAGCGGCGACGCUGAUUCCAACGCUUAUUUAGGCGCCAUAGCCGCAGCCAAGCAAGUUUUCGAAACGGCAGACAAAUUCGGCAUGUCGAAAAUGAAUGUUCUAGACAUCGGCGGCGGGUUUACCUCCGGCCACCAGUUCACCACCGCAGCAACCGCCGUGAAAUCAGCUUUACAACAACACUUCUCUAACGAACCGGAGCUCACCAUCAUAGCUGAACCGGGUCGGUUUUUCGCAGAAACGGCGUUCACAUUGGCAACAACCAUCAUCGGAAAAAGAGUACGUGGAGAUUUACGUGAAUACUGGAUCAACGACGGCUUAUACGGGUCAAUGAACUGUGUACUUUACGAUCAUGCAACGGUAACGGCGACGCCGUUGGCAUGCAUGUCGAAUCGGGUCAACCUAAACUGCAGCGGGUCGAAAAUGUUUCCGUCAACUAUAUUCGGGCCCACGUGUGAUGCACU
rnacentral:lncRNA from 1 species